rnacentral:rRNA from 1 species
UACGGGAGGCAGCAGUGGGGAAUAUUGCACAAUGGGCGAAAGCCUGAUGCAGCUAUGCCGCGUGUAUGAAGAAGGCCUUAGGGUUGUAAAGUACUUUCAUCGGGGAGGAAAAAACAAAACUAAUAAUUUUAUUUCUUGACGUUACCCGAAAAAGAAGCACCGGCUAACUCCGUGCCAGCAGCCGCGGUAAUACGGAGGGUGCUAGCGUUAAUCAGAAUUACUGGGCGUAAAGAGCACGUAGGUGGUUUUUUUAAGUCAGAUGUGAAAUCCCUGGGCUUAACCUAGGAACUGCAUUUUGAAACUGAAAUACUAGAGUAUCGUAGAGGGAGGUAGAAUUCUAGGUGUAGCGGUGAAAUGCGUAGAUAUCUGGAGGAAUACCUGUUGGCGAAAGCGGCCUCCUAAACGAAUACUGACACUGAGGUGCGAAAGCGUGGGGAGCAAACAGGGAUUAGAUACC